UAUGGUGACUAUUGCAGCGGGGAUCACCUCUUCCCAUUCCGAACAGAGAAGUUAAGCCCGCUUGCGCAGAUGGUACUAGGUAACUGGGAGAGUAUGUCGUCGCCAAUU
rnacentral:rRNA from 1 species